AGCGAACGCUGGCGGCAGGCUUAACACAUGCAAGUCGAGCGGGCACUUCGGUGUCAGCGGCAGACGGGUGAGUAACACGUGGGAACGUACCCUUUGGUUCGGAAUAACGCUGGGAAACUAGCGCUAAUACCGGAUACGCCCUUUGGGGGAAAGGCUUGCUGCCGAAGGAGCGGCCCGCGUCUGAUUAGCUAGUUGGUGGGGUGAUGGCUUACCAAGGCGACGAUCAGUAGCUGGUUUGAGAGGAUGAUCAGCCACACUGGGACUGAGACACGGCCCAGACUCCUACGGGAGGCAGCAGUGGGGAAUAUUGGACAAUGGGCGCAAGCCUGAUCCAGCCAUGCCGCGUGAGUGAUGAAGGCCUUAGGGUUGUAAAGCUCUUUUGUCCGGGACGAUAAUGACGGUACCGGAAGAAUAAGCCCCGGCUAACUUCGUG
rnacentral:rRNA from 1 species